AAAGUACUCCCUCCGUCCCAAAAUUCUUGUCUUAGAUCUGUCUAGAUACGGAUGUAUCAAGUCACAUUUUAGUAUUAGAUACAUCCGUAUCUAGACAAAUCUAAGACAAGAAAUUUGGGACAGAGGGAGUAGUUG
rnacentral:pre_miRNA from 1 species